UGCUAUCGGAGUUCGAUUAAGCCAUGCGAGUCUAGAGGUUUCUUCGGAAACCUUGGCGGACUGCUCAGUAACACGUGGAUAACCUACCCUUGGGACUGGAACAACCCCGGGAAACUGGGGAUAAUACCGGAUAGAUCAGGGAUGCUGGAAUGCACCUUGAUCCAAAGCUCCGGCGCCCAAGGAUGGGUCUGCGGCCUAUCAGGUAGUAGUGGGUGUAAUGUACCUACUAGCCAACGACGGGUACGGGUUGUGAGAGCAAGAGCCCGGAGAUGGAUUCUGAGACACGAAUCCAGGCCCUACGGGGUGCAGCAGGCGCGAAAACUUUACAAUGUGCGAAAGCAUGAUAAGGGAACUCCGAGUGCCAGCAUCUAAUGUUGGCUGUCCUUGUGCCUAAAAUGCACAAGAUAGCAAGGGCCGGGUAAGACCGGUGCCAGCCGCCGCGGUAACACCGGCGGCCCGAGUGGUAGCCACUAUUAUUGGGUCUAAAGGGUCCGUAGCCGGUUCGAUAAGUCCUCUGGGAAAUCUGGUUGCUUAACAAUCAGACUGCCAAGGGAUACUGUCGAACUUGAGACCGGGAGAGGUAAGAGGUACUUCAGGGGUAGGAGUGAAAUCUUGUAAUCCCUGGGGGACCAUCUGUGGCGAAGGCGUCUUACCAGAACGGGUCUGACGGUGAGGGACGAAAGCUGGGGGCGCAAACCGGAUUAGAUACCCGGGUAGUCCCAGCCGUAAACGAUGCUCGCUAUGUGUCAGGUACGGUGUGACCGUAUCUGGUGCCGUAGGGAAGCCGUGAAGCGAGCCACCUGGGAAGUACGGCCGCAAGGCUGAAACUUAAAGGAAUUGGCGGGGGAGCACUACAACGGGUGGAGCCUGCGGUUUAAUUGGAUUCAACGCCGGA
rnacentral:rRNA from 1 species